rnacentral:rRNA from 1 species
UNCUACACUGCAGUCGACGGANGGCCCUUCGGGGUACUCGAGUGGCGAACGGGUGAGUAACACGUGGGUGAUCUGCCCUGCACUUUGGGAUAAGCCUGGGAAACUGGGUCUAAUACCGAAUAUGACCGCGCACUUCCUGGUGUGUGGUGGAAAGCUUUUGCGGUGUGGGAUGGGCCCGCGGCCUAUCAGCUUGUUGGUGGGGUAAUGGCCUACCAAGGCGACGACGGGUAGCCGGCCUGAGAGGGUGACCGGCCACACUGGGACUGAGAUACGGCCCAGACUCCUACGGGAGGCAGCAGUGGGGAAUAUUGCACAAUGGGCGCAAGCCUGAUGCAGCGACGCCGCGUGAGGGAUGACGGCCUUCGGGUUGUAAACCUCUUUCAAUAGGGACGAAGCGCAAGUGACGGUACCUAUAGAAGAAGGACCGGCCAACUACGUGCCAGCAGCCGCGGUAAUACGUAGGGUCCGAGCGUUGUCCGGAAUUACUGGGCGUAAAGAGCUCGUAGGUGGUUUGUCGCGUUGUUCGUGAAAACUCACAGCUUAACUGUGGGCGUGCGGGCGAUACGGGCAGACUAGAGUACUGCAGGGGAGACUGGAAUUCCUGGUGUAGCGGUGGAAUGCGCAGAUAUCAGGAGGAACACCGGUGGCGAAGGCGGGUCUCUGGGCAGUAACUGACGCUGAGGAGCGAAAGCGUGGGGAGCGAACAGGAUUAGAUACCCUGGUAGUCCACGCCGUANACGGUGGGUACUAGGUGUGGGUUUCCUUCCUUGGGAUCCGUGCCGUAGCUAACGCAUUAAGUACCCCGCCUGGGGAGUACGGCCGCAAGGCUANAACUCANAGAAAUCACGGGGGCCCGCACAAGCGGCGGAGCAUGUGGAUUAAUUCGAUGCAACGCGAAGAACCUUACCUGGGUUUGACAUGCACAGGACGCCAGUNNAGAUAUUGGUUCCCUUGUGGCCUGUGUGCAGGUGGUGCAUGGCUGUCGUCAGCUCNUGUCGUGAGAUGUUGGGUUAAGUCCCGCAACGAGCGCAACCCUUAUCUUAUGNNCCAGCGCGUAAUGGCGGGGACUCGUGAGAGACUGCCGGGGUCAACUCGGAGGAAGGUGGGGAUGACGUCAAGUCAUCAUGCCCCUUAUGUCCAGGGCUUCACACAUGCUACAAUNNNCGGUACAAAGGGCUGCGAUGCCGUGAGGUGGAGCGANNCCUUUCAAAGCCGGUCUCAGUUCGGA